rnacentral:rRNA from 1 species
UGGGGAAUAUUGCACAAUGGGGGAAACCCUGAUGCAGCGACGCCGCGUGAGCGAAGAAGGUUUUCGAAUCGUAAAGCUCUGUCCUAUGGGAAGAUAAUGACGGUACCAUAGGAGGAAGCCCCGGCUAACUACGUGCCAGCAGCCGCGGUAAUACGUAGGGGGCAAGCGUUGUCCGGAAUCACUGGGCGUAAAGGGUUCGCAGGCGGAAAUGCAAGUCAGUUGUGAAAGGCAGAGGCUCAACCUCUGUAAGCAAUUGAAACUGUAUUUCUUGAGAUGUGGAGAGGCAAGUGGGAUUCCUAGUGUAGCGGUGAAAUGCGUAGAUAUUAGGAAGAAUACCGGUGGCGAAGGCGACUUGCUGGACACAAACUGACGCUGAGGAACGAAAGCGUGGGUAGCAAACAGG